GAUUGCAAGUAACCCUCUCUGUAAUCGCGGCUG
rnacentral:ncRNA from 1 species